GAUGAACGCUAGCGGCAGGCUUAAUACAUGCAAGUCGAGGGGCAGCACGGUUAGCAAUAACUGGUGGCGACCGGCGCACGGGUGCGUAACACGUAUACAAUCUACCUUAAACAGGGGGAUAGCCUUUCGAAAGAGAGAUUAAUACCCCGUAAUAAAUUGAACGGCAUCGUUUGAUUUUGAAAGCUCCGGCGGUUUGAGAUGAGUAUGCGUCUGAUUAGCUAGUUGGUGAGGUAACGGCUCACCAAGGCGACGAUCAGUAGGGGAUCUGAGAGGGACUAACCCCCCACACUGGUACUGAGACACGGACCAGACUCCUACGGGAGGCAGCAGUAAGGAAUAUUGGUCAAUGGAGGCAACUCUGAACCAGCCAUGCCGCGUGCAGGAUGACGGCCCUAUGGGUUGUAAACUGCUUUUAUACAAGAGAAAACCCUGGUACGUGUACCAGGUUGAUAGUAUUGUAAGAAUAAGCAUCGGCUAACUUCGUGCCAGCAGCCGCGGUAAU
rnacentral:rRNA from 1 species